rnacentral:lncRNA from 10 species
AGGAAGACCCUGGCCUCCAUCUUGAAAACGGAAAAUAAAAACAGCAGACCUAUGAAGGUCGAAGGGGAAGAAAAGCUGUAUCGAUUGUUGAGAUCUGGCGACUUGUUUAAAUUUCAUCAGCCUCACUUCUAUGAACUCUCAGGACAAACUGCAACAGAGUCACAUCGAGUUGAGACUUCUCCAAGGGCCAUGGGGUUGACAUCUGUAUUCUCAGAGCUGAUUACCAACUCCUACCACUGUUAACCCUCAUCCAGGAACAAGCUUAUGUCUUUAACAUUCUGAGUGGGCUUCAGCAUCCUUGCAUAUGUUCAAUUCUUAAAAACCUGUUGAAAUAAAAGAUCAGGAGACAUAGGAAGGAUGCCAGAAGAGAGCGUGGCCUCACGUGUACCAGCUCUCUGCUCUCCUUUGCCUUGGGACGUUCCAUCCCUGGAAGUUUCCCUGCCCACAUCUUUGUAGAGAGUCCAUUCUCCAAGCUUCAGUGUGUCAUCUGUGAGGACCGUGACCCACCUGGUACAUCGCCUCAGGGCAUUCAUUUCAGGCUCCUUCUAAAUGGCCAAGGUACAGUUGACUAAAUACCGUACUUCAUUUCUGGUAUGUUUGGAGAGACAUCUGUUUUUUGCAUUUGGUCUUUCACUCUUUGUUUUUCUCCGGGAGGAUUAUA